CUACGCCUCCCUCAUAAUGCUGAUUUUUCUAAUUUUACAGAGGAGAACACUGAGGCUGAGGAUUUUAAAUGACUUGCACGGUGGGAGUACAGUCUAAGACGGGUUAGAACCAAGACUACACCUAGCUCUUCUGACUCCUGGUGUACCCCUGCAUCAGAGGUGACUAUGUCCAGAAAAUAUCUAGCAAAGGAGGGAAAUAGGAAAGCCCAAAACAAAAAGCCUGAAAAAGAGAAGUGUUGUUUCAGGGGGAGCAGGUUUGACUGGAGGGAAAGUUUGGGCAACUGCAGCAUCACCCAGUUCC